GACGAACGCUGGCGGCGUGCUUAACACAUGCAAGUCGAACGGAAAGGCCCUGCUUUUGUGGGUUGCUCGAGUGGCGAACGGGUGAGUAACACGUGAGUAACCUGCCCUUGACUUUGGGAUAACUUCAGGAAACUGGGGCUAAUACCGGAUAGGAGAUCCUGCUGCAUGGUGGGGGAUGGAAAGUUUCGGCGGUUGGGGAUGGACUCGCGGCUUAUCAGCUGGUUGGUGGAGUAGUGGCUUACCAAGGCUUCGACGGGUAGCCGGCCUGAGAGGGUGACCGGCCACAUUGGGACUAAGAUACGGCCCAGACUCCUACGGGAGGCAGCAGUGGGGAAUAUUGCACAAUGGGCGGAAGCCUGUUGCAGCAACGCCGCGUGCGGGAUGACGGCUUUCGGGUUGUAAACCGCUUUCGCCUGUGACGAAGCGUGAGUGACGGUACUGGGUAAAGAAGCACCGGCUAACUACGUG
rnacentral:rRNA from 1 species